UGGAAGGACAGUGCACUUUGGAGAUUGGUUGAGUGUACAGCAGCUAGCCCAGGAAUGCUCUGAUUAUCAAUUUCACAUGAUGAGUUUUUCCAGGAGGCAUCCAGUAGUGCAGCAGAGGGGAUAUUCUCUUGAGUGUCAAGGACACCUGGUGCUUCUUCCCUACUUCCCUCUGAAAGGAAAUUAAAUUGCAUUAAGUUUCCUAUUUUGAGCCUGGCUUCUGGUACACUAAGCAGUCAAACAUUCUCUGCCAAUGGACCCAAAGAAUUUGUCCUUUUAUUUUCAAUCUAAAAAAAAAUAUGCACAACACACACAAUCCUAAUUUUCCUCUGAGAGUUUUUGUUUUGUUUUGUUUGUCUUUAACUUUCUAAAACCUAGUUGUAUUAUUAGCCUGAAGGGUCUUGGGUUUCAGUGAAUUUCUGAAGUUGAGUAAAAUAUCAUUUCCUUUUAUUUUUCCUAUAUAGUAGCCUUCCACUUUAAAGAUUGUCCACACAUUUCUGGUGUUUGGGAUAUGAUAAGUGUUCUUAUUCAUCCUCCUCAAGUCUGACAUGAUGCCAUGGGCACCUCUCCUGUCUUUAACCUACCUGCUAGAACAGAAACAUUGGCCUAUAAGGGAAUCCGCUAUGACAAAGUAAAGAAUGAGAUUCUGGACACUUUACUACAUUUCGUUUCCUUUAUUCUUUUCUUUCUCUCACAAAGGCUCUCUACUGUGCUUCUCUGAAAAAGUUGAAGGGUCAUGGGAGGCAGAGCUGGAAUUACUACCCAAAUUUCAUGAUAAAAUUACUUUUCCUGUAUAAGAGGUGACUACUAAGGCAGAAUUCAAGUCUUCAGCCUGGAAUGUUGAUUUCAGCUUGCAGAGAAGCCCCGUGAAUACGGCCUCACCUGUCAAGAAGCCUGCCACUAUGAUCAUUUAGAUUUUCAGUAAUAUAGUUAUUUCAAAGCCCAGGCUAUGAAAUCAGACCGCUUGUAGCUGUGAGACUUUGGGGAAGUUAAUUAUCAUACUUAAGCUGAAAUUUAUCAAUGGAUAAAAUAGGGUAAUAAUUUUAUCUACCUCAUAGAAUGAUUGUGAGGAUUAAAUGAAAUAAUACAUGUAAAAUUCUAAGCUUAGUUUUUUUUAAUAGAAGAGUUUGAUCACUAUUAGCUAUAAUUAGGCUAAAGUACAUGUGCUUAUGAAAGAGGACAUAGAUUGUUUUAAUUAUGUGAAGAGGUAUAAAUAAUUGAUACUGAGACUUCUGAAAGGUAGCUAGAUUGGCAGAAGAGAGGAUAUUUGAGGGAGCUAGGGAGAAGACGUGACAGAAAUAGAGAACAUCACCACCUUGAUCCCAGCUCUACCUGGACACAUCUCUACUCAGCAUCCAUCAGUCAAGAGCAGACCAAAGAUGGGGCCUGAAUAUGGAGUCACAUCUUUCAACUAAAACACAACUUCGUCUUGAUUGUUUUUUUUUAGGUCAUUACCUCAAAUAUCAGCAAUAUUGCUUUUUUAUUUGUUUGCUUGCUUGCUUUUCGUAUAGAUACCCUGGUGUAUGGUUCUAAUCUUGAUUCACUCCCAGAAUGACCAUGGCAUUGCUUCUGUAUACUGUGAUGGGCACACAAUGAGGAAAAGGGAAACCUCUUUUGUUGAGAAAAAACUCAAUGGAGUUUAAUUCCUCAGUUUGGAAUUUCAUUUCUAUAAGAGACCUUCCCUCCAAAAAAGUGAUUCUGUUAACUUGUGAAUAUUAACUAAAGAGAUAAGUGUUUAAGCACUUUUAGUAUGGAACAAAAUAGUUUCUGGUACAUUUCAUAAUGUUCCAAAAUUAGGCAAAGUAAAAUAUUCUUAAUAAAUGAAGUCAAUGAGUGUGUUGAGGCUGUUUAAGGUUUUUGCAAGUAUAUUUUAUCCACAAAUAAAACAGGUGGUUUCUUGUAGUUUUAAAUUUUUUUUAUUUUAUUUUUCUGGCUAAACUCUGUCAAGUAUCUCAUUUCUAAUUCCUCCUGAGAAAACCCAGCAGGGCAGACAGAACACUUCCUUUCAGGACAUCAGUCACCGUUAAUUGCUAAUGGGGCC
rnacentral:lncRNA from 10 species